CCGUACUAGCCGGGGAGUUAGCGGUGCCCUGUAACCUGCAAUCCGCUACAGCAGGGGUGAAUUCCUCGCAUAGGUUAUAAAAUGUGUGGUCUGCCCUAUAUAAGUGGUGUUGAGAACUUGGUCCCACGCAAUGGAAAUUCAUGAACCCCGUGAGAUCCGGAAGGAAGCAGCGGUAAGUGAAACCUUCCAUGUGCCGUGGAGCAACCUGGUUUGAGCUAACUGUAUAGGUAACGCGCAUAGUUUAUAUAUCGAAGCGAGGUGUACGG
rnacentral:SRP_RNA from 3 species